CCUACGGGAGGCAGCAGUGAGGAAUAUUGGUCAAUGGACGCAAGUCUGAACCAGCCAUGCCGCGUGCAGGAAGACGGCUCUAUGAGUUGUAAACUGCUUUUGUACGAGGGUAAACGCAGAUACGCGUAUCUGUCUGAAAGUAUCGUACGAAUAAGGAUCGGCUAACUCCGUGCCAGCAGCCGCGGUAAUACGGAGGAUUCAAGCGUUAUCCGGAUUUAUUGGGUUUAAAGGGUGCGUAGGCGGUCGGAUAAGUUAGAGGUGAAAUCCCGAGGCUCAACUUCGGAAUUGCCUCUGAUACUGUUCGUCUAGAGAGUAGUUGCGGUAGGCGGAAUGUAUGGUGUAGCGGUGAAAUGCUUAGAGAUCAUACAGAACACCGAUUGCGAAGGCAGCUUACCAAGCUACUUCUGACGUUGAGGCACGAAAGCGUGGGGAGCAAACAGGAGUAGAUACCCCAGUAGUC
rnacentral:rRNA from 1 species